rnacentral:rRNA from 1 species
CCUACGGGGGGCAGCAGUGAGGAAUAUUGGUCAAUGGCCGAGAGGCUGAACCAGCCAAGUCGCGUGAGGGAUGACGGCCCUAUGGGUUGUAAACUUCUUUUGUAGGGGAGUAAAACGAGGCACGUGUGCCUGAUUGCAAGUACUCGAAGAAAAAGGAUCGGCUAACUCCGCGCCAGCAGCCGCGGUAAUACGGAGGAUCCGAGCGUUAUCCGGAUUUAUUGGGUUUAAAGGGAGCGGAGAGGGGAUGUUAAGUCAGGGGGGAAAGUUUGGGGCGCAACCCCCGAAUUGCCUUGGAUACUGGAACUCUUGAGUGCAGGAGAGGUAUGCGGAAUGCGUGGUGUAGCGGUGAAAUGCGUAGAUAUCACGAAGAACUCCGAUUGCGAAGGCAGCUUAC